rnacentral:rRNA from 1 species
AUUGAACGCUGGCGGCAGGCUUAACACAUGCAAGUCGAGCGGAGAUGAGGUGCUUUCACCUUAUCUUAGCGGCGGACGGGUGAGUAAUGCUUAGGAAUCUGCCUAUUAGUGGGGGACAACAUUCCGAAAGGAAUGCUAAUACCGCAUACGCCCUACGGGGGAAAGCAGGGGAUCUUCGGACCUUGCGCUAAUAGAUGAGCCUAAGUCGGAUUAGCUAUUUGGUGGGGUAAAGGCCUAACAAGGCGACGAUCUGUAGCGGAUCAGAGAGGAUUAUCCGACACACUGGGAGUGAGACACGGCACAGACUCCUACGGGAGGCAGCAUGGGGGAAUAUUGGACAAUGGGCUGAAGCCUGAUCCAGCCAUGCCGCGUGUGUGAAGAAGGCCUUUUGGUUGUAAAGCACUUUAAGCGAGGAGGAGGCUACCUGGAUUAAUACUCUAGGAUAGUGGACGUUACUCGCAGAAUAAGCACCGGCUAACUCUGUGCCAGCAGCCGCCGUAACAC